AAGUCGUAACAAGGUCUCCGUAGGUGAACCUGCGGAGGGAUCAUUACAAGAACGCCCGGGCUUCGGCCUGGUUAUUCAUAACCCUUUGUUGUCCGACUCUGUUGCCUCCGGGGCGACCCUGCCUUCGGGCGGGGGCUCCGGGUGGACACUUCAAACUCUUGCGUAACUUUGCAGUCUGAGUAAACUUAAUUAAUAAAUUAAAACUUUUAACAACGGAUCUCUUGGUUCUGGCAUCGAUGAAGAACGCAGCGAAAUGCGAUAAGUAAUGUGAAUUGCAGAAUUCAGUGAAUCAUCGAAUCUUUGAACGCACAUUGUGCCCCCUGGUAUUCCGGGGGGCAUGCCUGUUCGAGCGUCAUUUCACCACUCAAGCCUCGCUUGGUAUUGGGCAACGCGGUCCGCCGCGUGCCUCAAAUCGUCCGGCUGGGUCUUCUGUCCCCUAAGCGUUGUGGAAACUAUUCGCUAAAGGGUGUUCGGGAGGCUACGCCGUAAAACAACCCCAUUUCUAAGGUUGACCUCGGAUCAGGUAGGGAUACCCGCUGAACUUAA
rnacentral:rRNA from 1 species